rnacentral:rRNA from 1 species
ACGAACGCUGGCGGCGUGCUUAACACAUGCCAGUCGAACGGAAAGGCCCUGCUUUUGUGGGGUGCUCGAGUGGCGAACGGGUGAGUAACACGUGAGUAACCUGCCCUUGACUUUGGGAUAACUUCAGGAAACUGGGGCUAAUACCGGAUAGGAGCUCCUGCUGCAUGGUGGGGGUUGGAAAGUUUCGGCGGUUGGGGAUGGACUCGCGGCUUAUCAGCUUGUUGGUGGGGUAGUGGCUUACCAAGGCUUUGACGGGUAGCCGGCCUGAGAGGGUGACCGGCCACAUUGGGACUGAGAUACGGCCCAGACUCCUACGGGAGGCAGCAGUGGGGAAUAUUGCACAAUGGGCGGAAGCCUGAUGCAGCACCGCCGCGUGCGGGAUGACGGCCUUCGGGUUGUAAACCGCUUUCGCCUGUGACGAAGCGUGAGUGACGGUAAUGGGUAAAGAAGCACCGGCUAACUACGUG